rnacentral:rRNA from 1 species
UACGGGAGGGGCAAGCGUUGUUCGGAAUUACUGGGCGUAAAGGGCUCGUAGGCGGCCAACUAAGUCAGACGUGAAAUCCCUCGGCUUAACCGGGGAACUGCAUCUGAUACUGGAUGGCUCGAGUUUGGGAGAGGGAUGCGGAAUUCCUGGUGUAGCGGUGAAAUGCGCAGAUAUCAGGAGGAACACCGGUGGCGAAGGCGGGUCUCUGGGCCGAUACUGACGCUGAGGAGCGAAAGCGUGGGGAGCGAACAGG